rnacentral:rRNA from 1 species
ACGUAGGGGGCGAGCGUUAUCCGGAUUUAUUGGGCGUAAAGCGUGUGUAGGCGAUUUAUUAAGUCUAAGAUCAAAGCCCGAAGCUUAACUUCGGUUCGUCUUAGAAACUGGUAGACUUGAGUGUGGUAGAGGCAAGUGGAAUUUCUAGUGUAGCGGUUAAAUGCGUAGAUAUUAGAAGGAACACCAGUGGCGAAGGCGGCUUGCUGGGCCAUUACUGACGCUGAGACACGAAAGCGUGGGGAGCAAAUAG